AACGAACGCUGGCGGCGCGCCUAAUACAUGCAAGUCGAGCGAGAAGACGUAGCAAUACGUUUGUAAAGCGGCGAACGGGUGAGGAAUACAUGGGUAACCUACCCUCGAGUGGGGAAUAACUAGCCGAAAGGUUAGCUAAUACCGCGUACGCUCCUUGGACUUCGGUUCAUGGAGGAAAGCGAUACCGUGGGUAUCGCGCUCUUGGAUGGGCUCAUGUCCUAUCAGCUGUUGGUGAGGUAACGGCUCACCAAGGCUUCAACGGGUAGCUGGUCUGAGAGGACGAUCAGCCACACUGGCACUGCGACACGGGCCAGACUCCUACGGGAGGCAGC
rnacentral:rRNA from 1 species